AGCGGUAAGGCCCCUUCGGGGGUACACGAGCGGCGAACGGGUGAGUAACACGUGAGCAAUCUACCCAUCACAUCGGGAUAACUUCGGGAAACCGAAGCUAAUACCGGAUACGACCACCUCAGGCAUCUGAUGGUGGUGGAAAGUUCAGGCGGUGAUGGAUGAGCUCGCGGCCUAUCAGCUUGUUGGUGGGGUAACGGCCCACCAAGGCUUCGACGGGUAGCCGGCCUGAGAGGGUGACCGGCCACACUGGGACUGAGACACGGCCCAGACUCCUACGGGAGGCAGCAGUGGGGAAUAUUGGACAAUGGGCGAAAGCCUGAUCCAGCAACGCCGCGUGAGGGAUGACGGCCUUCGGGUUGUAAACCUCUUUCAGCAGGGACGAAGCGAAAGUGACGGUACCUGCAGAAGAAGCACCGGCCAACUACGUGCCAGCAGCCGCGGUAAUACGUAGGGUGCGAGCGUUGUCCGGAAUUAUUGGGCGUAAAGGGCUCGUAGGCGGUCUGUCGCGUCGGGAGUGAAAACUCAGGGCUUAACCCUGAGCCUGCUUCCGAUACGGGCAGACUAGAGGUAUGCAGGGGAGAAUGGAAUUCCUGGUGUAGCGGUGAAAUGCGCAGAUAUCAGGAGGAACACCGGUGGCGAAGGCGGUUCUCUGGGCAUUACCUGACGCUGAGGAGCGAAAGUGUGGGGAGCGAACAGGAUUAGAUACCCUGGUAGUCCACACCGUAAACGUUGGGCGCUAGGUGUGGGACUCAUUCCACGAG
rnacentral:rRNA from 1 species